AAAGGGUGCGUAGGCGGCCUGUUAAGUCAGAGGUGAAAGACGGUAGCUCAACUAUCGCAGUGCCUUUGAUACUGAUGGGCUUGAAUGGACUAGAGGUAGGCGGAAUGAGACAAGUAGCGGUGAAAUGCAUAGAUAUGUCUCAGAACACCGAUUGCGAAGGCAGCUUACUAUGGUUUUAUUGACGCUGAGGCACGAAAGCGUGGGGAUCAAACAGGAUUAGAUACCCUGGU
rnacentral:rRNA from 1 species